rnacentral:rRNA from 1 species
CCUACGGGAGGCAGCAGUGAGGAAUAUUGCGCAAUGGGGGAAACCCUGACGCAGCGACGCCGCGUGAGUGAGGAAGGUUUUCGGAUCGUAAAGCUCUGUCAGAAGGGAAGAAGUGUUAUGUAGUUAAUACCUGCAUAAUUUGACGGUACCUUCAGAGGAAGCACCGGCUAACUCCGUGCCAGCAGCCGCGGUAAUACGGAGGGUGCAAGCGUUGUUCGGAAUUACUGGGCGUAAAGGGCGCGUAGGCGGCCGGAUAUGUCAGGUGUGAAAGUCCACGGCUCAACCGUGGAAGUGCAUUUGAAACUGUCCGGCUUGAGUAUCGGAGGGGAGUGUGGAAUUCCCGGUGUAGAGGUGAAAUUCGUAGAGAUCGGGAGGAACACCGGUGGCGAAGGCGACACUCUGGACGAAUACUGACGCUGAGGCGCGAAAGCGUGGGGAGCAAACAGGAUUAGAUACCCUGGUAGUCCACGCCGUAAACGAUGUGAACUAGGGAUAGGGGGUGUUGAUCCCUCCUGUCCCGCAGCUAACGCAUUAAGUUCACCGCCUGGGGAGUACGGUCGCAAGAUUAAAACUCAAAGGAAUUGACGGGGGCCCGCGCAAGCGGUGGAGUAUGUGGUUUAAUUCGACGCAACGCGAAGAACCUUACCUGGGCUUGACAUCCCAAGAAUUUCCUGGAAACAGGAAAGUGCGUCAUUAGAUGAACUUGGUGACAGGUGCUGCAUGGCUGUCGUCAGCUCGUGUCGUGAGAUGUUGGGUUAAGUCCCGCAACGAGCGCAACCCCUGCCUUUAGUUGCCAGCAGUUCGGCUGGGCACUCUAGAGGGACUGCCGGUGUCAAACCGGAGGAAGGUGGGGAUGACGUCAAGUCCUCAUGGCCUUUAUGCUCAGGGCUACACACGUACUACAAUGGUCGGUACAAAGGGCAGCGACUUAGCGAUAAGAAGCUAAUCCCAGAAAACCGGUCUCAGUCCGGAUUGGAGUCUGCAACUCGACUCCAUGAAGUUGGAAUCGCUAGUAAUCGUGGAUCAGCAUGCCACGGUGAAUACGUUCCCGGGCCUUGUACACACCGCCCGUCACACCACGAAAGUCGGUUGUUCCAGAAGUAGUUGAGCUAACCUUAGGGAGGCAGGCUACCAAGGAAUGGUCGGUAAUUGGGGUGAAGUCGUAACAAGGUAACC